UAAGGAAUAUUGGUCAAUGGACGCAAGUCUGAACCAGCCAUGCCGCGUGAAGGAUUAAGGUCCUCUGGAUUGUAAACUUCUUUUUAUCUGGGACGAAAAAAGGCGAUUCUUCGUCACUUGACGGUACCAGAUGAAUAAGCACCGGCUAACUCCGUGCCAGCAGCCGCGGUAAUACGGAGGGUGCAAGCGUUAUCCGGAUUCACUGGGUUUAAAGGGUGCGUAGGCGGGCAGGUAAGUCAGUGGUGAAAAUCCUGGAGCUUAACUCCAGAACUGCCAUUGAUACUAUCUGUCUUGAAUAUUGUGGAGGUAAGCGGAAUAUGUCAUGUAGCGGUGAAAUGCUUAGAUAUGACAUAGAACACCUAUUGCGAAGGCAGCUUACUACGCAUAUAUUGACGCUGAGGCACGAAAGCGUGGGGAUCAAACAGGAUUAGAUACCCUGGUAGUCCACGCCCUAAACGAUGGAUACUCGACAUACGCGAUACACUGUGUGUGUCUGAGCG
rnacentral:rRNA from 1 species